AAUAGAUACCCUGGUAGUCCACGCCGUAAACGAUGAGUGCUAAGUGUUAGGGGGUUUCCGCCCCUUAGUGCUGCAGCUAACGCAUUAAGCACUCCGCCUGGGGAGUACGGUCGCAAGACUGAAACUCAAAGGAAUUGACGGGGGCCCGCACAAGCGGUGGAGCAUGUGGUUUAAUUCGAAGCAACGCGAAGAACCUUACCAGGUCUUGACAUCCCAUUGACCGCUAUGGAGACAUAGCUUUCCCUUCGGGGACAGUGGUGACAGGUGGUGCAUGGUUGUCGUCAGCUCAUGUCGUGAGAUGUUGGGUUAAGUCCCGCAACGAGCGCAACCCUUGUUCUUAGUUGCCAUCAUUUAGUUGGGCACUCUAAGGAGACUGCCGGUGACAAACCGGAGGAAGGUGGGGAUGACGUCAAAUCAUCAUGCCCUUAUGACCUGGGCUACACACGUGCUACAAUGGACGGUACAAACGGUUGCCAAACCCGCGAGGGGGAGCUAAUCCGGAUAAAACCGUUCUCAGUUCGGAUUGUAGG
rnacentral:rRNA from 1 species